CCUAUCUGGUUGAUCCUGCCAGUAGUUAUAUGCUUGUUUCAAAGACUAAGCCAUGCAUGCCUAAGUCCAGCUCGGCCCGGAGGAGUGAGCAAUCUCUCUCGAGGGCUGGGCGAAACCGCGGACGGCUCAUUAAAUCAGUUGUGGUCCGAAUGGGCUCCAGUUAUCAAUGGAUAACUGUGGUAAUUCCAGAGCUAAUACAUGCAAUUUAGAUCCCAAGCGUGGCAUUCAGUCGUGGGUGUACGCCCUCGAUUGCGUGUUUUCGCUCCGGANGCUUUUAUUAGACCAAGAGGUGCACCCUAGCAGUAGGGCUUGUGCGGGAGCUUUUGCGUGUGAGUACGCGCAUGCAGUGUHUCUUCGGGGACGCUGUGUGUGUGUGUUUGUGCGUGGGAGUGACUGUGCUCGUCUAGGCACGCUGCUAGUGGGGCAUAUAGCUUCGAAGGUGACUCUGGAUAACCGAUAAGCGAGCGCACCUUUGUGUGCGCGCGCUGCCACUUUCGAGUGACUGCCUUAUCAGCUAUAUAACGUUUGUUACAAGCAAACGUUGGCUAUGACGGGUAACGGGGAAUCAGGGUUCGAUUCCGGAGAGGCAGCCUGAGAAACGGCUACCACGUCCAAGGACGGCAGCAGGCACGUAAAUUACCCAAUCCCAGUAUCUGGGGGAGGUAGUAACGAAACAUACUGAUGCGAGCGCUUCUUCGGAGGCCCCGCAAUCAGAAUGGGUAUUUUCUAAAGACCCUAUCGAGAACCUACUGAAGGGCAAGUCUGGUGCCAGCAGCCGCGGUAAUUCCAGCUUCAGUAGCGUAUGCUAAAGUUGCUGCGGUUUAAAGGCUCGCAGUUGAAUGUCUGUUAUCGGGCGGAGAAUUGGGUUUCUAGACGUUGGUUCGCAUAGAGGAGGGAGGCGUGUUUCCUGACUGUGUAGCUGGCGUUCACACCCUGUGUGCAUUAGCGCGAUCUGGGUGUCGACACGUCUGUGAAAGGUUUGGUUCUCGCCUUCCGUUCGUACUCGUGCGUUCCCGUCUUAAUCGUAUGAGCCCUCCCGCUCGGUGGCUAUACACGCGUAUGCGUGCGAGCGCCCGGCGCUCGUGCAAGUACGUGUUGUCACCUUGAGUAAAUCAGAGUGCUCAAAGCAGUCGGUGGAAUUCGAUUUCACACCCGUGUGGGAUCGAUGGAAAGCGAUUGGCUUUGCUUUGCAUGGCACGUCGGAAGACGCCGCUUCUCGUUGGUCCAAUUUAUGCUGUAUGCUCUCAGCGUCUACGACGCGAGGUGUACUCGCCAACGAGAGCGGAAUGAGCUAAAAGGAACGGUCGAGGGCAUUGGUAUUGCGCGGCGAGAGGUGAAAUUCUAUGACCCCCGCAAGACCUCCAGAAGCGAAAGCGUCUGCCAAGGACGUUUUCAUUAAUCAUGAACGAAAGUUAGAGGAUCGAAGGCGAUCAGAUACCGCCCUAGUUUUAACCGUAAACGAUACCAACCAUCAAUCCGUGCGUAGCACCCUCGUGUCGCGGGGAGGCGACACACUUCGGUGUGCCACUCCUUUGGGAUACAGUGCGGGCUCGGCGGGCAGCUCCUGUCACGGGAAACCAGAGUCUCUGGGUUCCGGGGGGAGUCUGGUUGCAAAGCUGAAACUUAAAGGAAUUGACGGAAAGGCACCACCAGGCGUGGAGCUUGCGGCUCAAUUUGACUCAACACGGGAAAACUUACCAGGACAUCACGCUUGGGUGACUGACAGAUUGAAAGCUCUUUCUCGAUUAAGUGGAUGGUGGUGCAUGGCCGUUCUUAGUUGGUGGAGUGAUUUGUCUGGCUAAUCCCGAUAACGAACGAGACUCUAUCCUACUAAGCGGCAAGGCUAUUAGACGACUGGAUCCUUGACUCCUAAGAAUGUGUGUAAAAACCGUUAGGGAGAGGGACAACGCGUAGAAGAGACUUUUAAAGCCUCUACAUCGCUGCCUCUUCUAUCGAGCACACACAAGUCCGUCGUGGCUGCGCGUGAGAGCUCGGGGGACUUCGUGUCUUGCGGCUGCGGGGGUGCACCUAGUUCGGAGAAGUACCACGCUCUUUCUUUCGAGUUUGAGCGGGAAUGGACACUGAUUUAGUGUGCUUAAGCUCCCGUUGUUCAGCGGCGAUUUCUGGCUCGUUCUUUUGCGCGUAGACAAACAUUGUUUCUUCUUAGAGGCAUUUACGACUCAACACAAGUCGUACGAGACAGAGAGCAAUAACAGGUCUGUGAUGCCCUUAGAUGCCCUGGGCCGCACGCGAGCUACACUGCCGGGUACAGCGGGUGUUUACCUCCUUCUCCGAGAGGAGCAGGUAACCCUGUGAAAGCCCUUUCGAUAUUCGAUCGCGAGUAUCAUGGCUCGAUGGGGCCUGGGGCUUCUCUCCCGUGUUGUUGCAAUUAUCUCCCACAAACGAGGAAUGCCUAGUAUCGGCUAGUCACUGAGCUUGCAGCGACUCAGUCCCUGCCCUUUGUACACACCGCCCGUCGCUACUACCGAUUGAGUGUACCAGUGAGAUUCUUGGACUGGCGAACCUUUUUUCGCAUGCGAGAGAAGGCGAACGACGGAAAGAGACUCGAACUGGUGCACUUAGAGGAAGUAAAAGUCGUAACAAGGUUUCCGUAGGUGAACUGCGGAAGGAUCAUUA
rnacentral:rRNA from 1 species